AGUGAACGCUGGCGGUAGGCCUAACACAUGCAAGUCGAACGGCAGCACAGUAAGAGCUUGCUCUUACGGGUGGCGAGUGGCGGACGGGUGAGGAAUACAUCGGAAUCUACUUUUUCGUGGGGGAUAACGUAGGGAAACUUACGCUAAUACCGCAUACGACCCACGGGUGAAAGCAGGGGAUCUUCGGACCUUGCGCGAUUGAAUGAGCCGAUGUCGGAUUAGCUAGUUGGCGGGGUAAAGGCCCACCAAGGCGACGAUCCGUAGCCGGUCUGAGAGGAUGAUCAGCCACACUGGAACUGAGACACGGUCCAGACUCCUACGGGAGGCAGCAGUGGGGAAUAUUGGACAAUGGGCGCAAGCCUGAUCCAGCCAUACCGCGUGGGUGAAGAAGGCCUUCGGGUUGUAAAGCCCUUUUGUUGGGAAAGAAAAGCAGCAGGUUAAUACCCCGCUGUUCUGACGGUACCCAAAGAAUAAGCACCGGCUAACUUCGUG
rnacentral:rRNA from 1 species